UACGGAGGGGGCAAGCGUUGUUCGGAAUCAUUGGGCGUAAAGGGCGCGUAGGCGGCCGUCCAAGUCGGGUGUGAAAUCCCUCGGCUCAACCGAGGAACUGCACUCGAUACUGGUUGGCUAGAGUCCGGGAGGGGAUGGUGGAAUUCCCAGUGUAGCGGUGAAAUGCGUAGAUAUUGGGAAGAACACCGGUGGCGAAGGCGGCCAUCUGGACCGGAACUGACGCUGAGGCGCGAAAGCGUGGGGAGCGAACAGG
rnacentral:rRNA from 1 species